UACGAAGGGGGCUAGCGUUGCUCGGAAUCACGGGGCGUAAAGCGCACGUAGGCGGAUCUUUAAGUCAGGGGUGAAAUCCUGGAGCUCAACUCCAGAACUGCCUUUGAUACUGGGGAUCUCGAGUCCGGGAGAGGUGAGUGGAACUCCGAGUGUAGAGGUGAAAUUCGUAGAUAUUCGGAAGAACACCAGUGGCGAAGGCGGCUCACUGGCCCGGUACUGACGCUGAGGUGCGAAAGCGUGGGGAGCAAACAGG
rnacentral:rRNA from 1 species